GCUGUAGGUGGUGGGGGGUUGUGCCUCCCCUCUCGAAGUGAGAUGCCCCCACCGAGCCGGGUCUCGUCCCUUUCUCCUUGACGGCGGCGGCGGUGGUCCCCUCACACCUAAUGCCUGCAACAAGAGAGCUUCAAAAUCGCCGAAACUUUCUUGAUAGUCUGUGGAACCCGGCUGCAUCCCUGGUUGGGGCUUCUCCGGUGCACGUGUUCCCCUUCAAUUCCGGGCACUUCCUACUAGAUCAGUACUAGCAAUAGAUUUGGUUUUGCGAAUUGCGAAGAUGAUGGUGAACUAGAGUGACGGAGACGCGUUGAAUUGCGUUGCGUUAGCCGGCGCGUCGCUCGGCCGAAUGCGUGCGUUCCCGGACCGCGCCACCGCCGCCGCCGCCGCGUGAGUUAUUGAUUUUGCUGGCAGUCUUGGCCUGCUCUUGGCGGGCGAGCGAGCGCCGCCCCCAACGAUGACGUAGACUGCCCCCGGUGCCGAUCAUGCUCAGAAGCCGCUCUCUCUUCUCACACGGCUCCCGAAAGUACUUUCCGAUAAAAAGAUUUCCCGGCCCGUCUAUCGCUCGGAUAGCGUGCGCUAAAACUUUUUUACACUUCAUUUUAAAUUAAAUAGCCUACAACUUCUCUUUCUUUGCCGCUACUUCCCUCCUGUUAUCCUUCUUUCUUUUCUCUCGAAAGGGGCGGCAACAACAGAAAGUGCCUCGUCGGAAAAACGCCGCUUUCAGUCUUAUCUCUAGCGUCUUCAACUACUAGGACGUCUGUCGCCGUUUAAUCCUUCGAUUAUACUCGUUACUCUUCCACUUUCCCGGGAAUAAACGUUGUCCAUAUUGAUAAACUUUUCAUUCCCCCUCCCCCCAACUUUGAAAGGGGCGGAUCUUCUCCCCCUUUCUCGGAAACUUCUUUCCCACUUUUGUUGGAGCGAUGUUGUAUAAAAAAUUGGCGGGUUGUGUGGCGCGUAGCACAAUGCAGUCGACACGCGUAACUGAGCGUCGCGUCAUCCUGGCAGUGAGUUGCCGCCUGCGUGUUGCAGCGUGACCGCACACACCACCACUUUCAGACUAAGAUGGCAGCCAGAAAAUCGCGUCAGUCAUACACGAUCAGGCACAUCCUGGAGAUGUCGCCCUCCACCCCUCCCCCAGAGAGGUGUCCCCGACCACCUCCUGUCCUCGAAUAUAAGUACUAUCACAGGUGGACAACUCAAAAAGAAGACGACGAAACAGAUCCGGCUCUACAGCCUGAAGAUCUGUCCAUAAAACGGCCGGAGCCUCGUCCUGAGAUGAGCAAGGUGGACGAAAUACAACGACCCAUGACGAGAGCUGGCCGUAUAUCAGAAGACUUACCAAUUAACUCAACUUCAUCCAUAUCCACAUCAAACCAAAACAGCACAUCCUUUCUCCAGAAACGAAAACAAGAAUUAUCAGCGAUGGUUAAGCCAAAAACGAACGAAAUUAUGAACAAGAAGAACAUGACAAAGAAGGAGGAGAUUCCUGUACAGGAAGAACCAGCUUCAAAGCGAAGAAGAAAGAUGACACGCAAUGGAGGAGAAAUGAAUGGAGAUGAGUCAUCAAAGGAGACAGCUUCAGAAGCACAGAAACAACAGAUGUUACCUCAGAAAAAGCGUGCCCUAGUGGGAGGUGUAUCAAACAGUCCCAACAAGAAGAGUGCGAAAAAUAGCUCGUCAAACAACCAGGAUGAGGCAUUGGAUGACGAAACUCUCAUCAGAGAAACUGAAGCAGCGCUGAAAAGUCUCUCAGGUAGCUGGCCUGGCUCCAGAAGUUCAUUCUACAAUCGCUCAGAACCGGAAGACCGGUUUGAAUCCCCCGCUUUCGAGAAUCUGUUCGAAGAGAAGAAAAAUUCGGCUGAUAAGGCUCCACCAGCAUCCUCGUCUUCAGCCACCGCGGGAAGUGGUGACUCGUCAUCGUGCUCACUGAAGGAUGUCAUCACACUACGCGAGCAACAGGAGAACAGAUCAAUGAAGGGGAACCUGAGAGGACAAGGAUCCAGAGAUGGCAUGAAUAGCAGGACAGGGCAAAAAUCGAGCAGUAGGGACAACAAUGACAAGGAAUCCAAGUAUGAGGAUCUAGACAACAUGAGGAAGAUUGAUGAGAGUAUGAACUCACAAAAAGGUAAACCGGGAGAAAAGGGUGAUGGUUCAAGUAAAGGUGAGAAGUUCGUGUCAGCUCCACGUUAUGAGCCUGAUUUCAAUGAGCUUGUUGACGAUUCCUCCAACGAACUAGAGAUCGAUAUGUCGGAUCCAGCAGGUGAGAAAGAAGAUGAUGACGAUAGGGGACAAGCAGAAAAAGCUGAUUACAAGUCGAAGAGGAAGAGUGAGUACGAUAAGAAGUCGAUUGAGAAAACUACCGUGAAGGAGGAACCUUCUUUGGGUGAAACUUUUGCUCAGCCUCGACAUGCUGAUGACAAGGGAGGUGGGAAUGUAGGAGCAACAUUCUCGCCCACAUCAGCGUUCAGGCCAAUUAAUAAUGAGAACAAGGAUGGGAGAAUAGGUGGUUUGGACCUGCAGGGCACAGUGGGCGCCGCCAUGUCACCGUUGGGUCCGUUCCCAGCCGGAGCUACAUUUGUGGGGUACCCGACGCCACCCAGUCUCCACCCGGCGGAGACGACCGCGACAGGCCCCAGUCGACACGAGGCCAAAUGUUUGCUGCAGCUGAAACCUACCGCGAUCAAAUCGGAGACGGAUCUGGAGCGCCAGGAGGUGGUCGGUCCGAAAGCGAGCGCGACCGUGUCGUCUCCCGACUCGAAACAGUACACGAUCCUGCAGCCGGCCGGAGCGGGGUCGCGUGCCGCAACCGCCAUCCAGGACGUGGCCAGAGAGGGUGUGGUCAGCGUGGCCGCAGUCUCCAGCUCGUCCUCCCCUGGCGCCCAACGCGAAUCGCCCAAGGUCACACCUGCUGAGCGCCCCGAAGCUACCCGGCCUACUGGCACCUUGUCGCCGACCAGCCUCACCAAAGAUGGUAGUAAAUGUCCGACACCAGGAUGUUUAGGCGAAGGCCACGUUACAGGAUUGUAUUCGCAUCAUCGCAGCUUAUCUGGAUGUCCGAGAAAAGAUAAAGUAACUCCAGAAAUCCUGGCGAUGCAUGAGACUAUCCUGAAAUGUCCGACGCCCGGCUGCAACGGACGAGGUCACGUGUCGACCAAUCGCAACACGCACCGCAGUCUGUCCGGAUGUCCGAUUGCCGCCGCCUCCAAGCAGGCCGCCCGCGAGCACCGCGCCAAGCGAGCAGUAGUAACACCGCAACCAGAGUGCGGCUUCAAAGCGGCGGUGCCGGGGGCGGUGACAGUGGCAGGGGUGGGGGUGGGGGUGGGGGCGAUGUCACCCUGCGACACGAAGCCAGCCGUGUGCUACCCGUCCAACUACACCGACCCGUCGGUCAGUCGCUCCUCGUCGUCCGACUACGCUCCGUCACCCUACUACUCCAAGGCCACCGUCAAGCCGACCAAGAUCCUGCAACAGGAGGACGACAAGUCGAAAAUCACACCCAAAAUGGAGAGCAAUGUGGUCAGCUGUUGUCGGCCGGAUAUGUUGGUGAAACCGGAAGUGACGUCAUGCCGAUCGCCACCUCCACCUAGACAGCCUCCAACCUACGACCCGUACAUCAACCACGAUUCAAACUCCUCGUCGGUGUCCAGCAUGGACCAACAGCAUCAAUCCCACCUGCAUCCUCCUCCCCCUCCCCAUCUGCCCGUCCCCCCACCGCCGCACCACAUACACCCCCCUCCCUCCGUGCCACCAUACACGAUGGUGGACGACAACCAGCGGCCAUCUCUGCAACACCGGCUGCCUUACGACAGCAACAUCUCUAGCAAUUCCUCCGAGGAGAUGUAUCAGCGACCACCGCAGAGCGAUCGGCCCACAUAUCCAUCCAGUAACCGGUUCCAAAGCGCGCCCGAGAUGGCGCGGAACGGUUACGAGGUGCGAGCCUACGAGACGGCGGCGGCUUCCUAUGACAGGUACGACGCCCCCCGCUACCCGCCGCCCCCACCCGACUACCCCGAGCCCACCUAUGAGGCGGCAGCUCAGCAUCAGCAGCAGAUGGCGGCAGCCGUCAUUAAGCAGGACCCCGUUGCCGAGCAACACGACCAGCCCGACGGACCUCUCUAUCCCAGACCGAUGUACCAUUACGAUCCAGCGAAUGGGAACGUUCCAGCGGGGUUUUCGCCAGCAGCCAUCAAUUUGUCAGUGAAAUGCGUGACUGCUUCACAGAUGAAAUGCAAUGAGCCAAGGUCACCCGGUGGUGGCUCUGUCAUGGACCUGUCAACUUCCAGUGUCACAUCAACUAGUCCACAGGCCGCUCCAUAUGGUUCGAACAGCCUCAGUCCUCACCACUACGGGGCGCAAAGGGGGAGUCCUCAGGCCGCCAAGAGCCCCCACCACAGUUCCAGUCCACAAGUGCCAAGCCCUCAGGGCCAAACCCUCGAUCUCAGCGUCAAUAACAGAUUAGGGUGGUGCGUUUUUAGGGGAACUGGCCGGCCCGUCUUCCCCGGGGCGGUUCCCCCCGGCGCCCCCCCUGCAGCCCCCGCCCCCGCACCCUACAGUCGGGACUCCACCCCCGACAGCGGCGGGUCGCACUACCUCGACUCCUACCGAGACGUCAAUGGUUAUGCGGCUAUGAGUCCUCAUCCUGGCUAUACGAUGUCAGGAGGCGAGUAUCAUGGCAACAGCUAUGCACCUUAUCCCUCAGCCUAUUCAUGUGGCUAUCCAACUGGCUCCUACCCUGGGCCUACACCCGGGUAUGCCCCCGCACCCUGCUAUACCAUGGGCCCUCCUCAGCACGAUAAAGUAGCGCCCACAUCUAAGGAUGAUAGCCUGUCGGGCUGUCCGCGGGCAGACCGCUCGCAAAUCCAGGCGCACUCGCAGGAGCUGAAGUGUCCGACUCCCGGCUGUGAUGGGUCCGGGCAUGUCACGGGCAACUACUCGUCGCACCGCAGCCUGUCCGGCUGUCCCAGGGCCAACAAGCCCAAGAGUAAACCCAGGGACGGACAGGACUCCGAACCGCUCAGGUGCCCUAUACCUGGUUGUGAUGGCUCAGGACAUGCCACAGGAAAAUUUUUAUCUCAUAGGAGCGCGUCCGGCUGCCCGAUAGCGAACCGCAACAAGAUGCGAGUGCUGGAAAGCGGCGGCACUGUGGAACAACACAAGGCGGCCAUGGCGGCGGUGACGGCGGCGGCCGCGGCGAAACUGGACGGCGUCAACUGUCCGACGCCCGGCUGCGACGGCGCCGGCCACGUCAACGGCACUUUCCUCACGCACCGCUCGCUGUCCGGGUGUCCCACCGCGUCCGCCACGCCGCAUCCGCCCUCCCAUCAUCCACUCGCCGGCCUCCCGCCCAAGAAGCCCGACCCCUACUCGGCCGACAAGCUGCGUCAACCAGCUGCGGCAGAAUUUUCAGCAGCAUGGUAUUGUGUGCAGGCGCUGAUGUGAUGUGCUCAGGGGCGGCAGUCGGAGGCGGUGGUGCCGGGGGCCCUGGGGGCGGCGAAGACCUGUACUCGCUGGAGGCGGAGAUCACUCACCUGCAGCGCGAAAACGCCAAGGUCGAAUCUCAGAUGAUGCGCCUCAAGACCGACAUUAGCGCCAUGGAGGCGCAUCUGCGUCAUGGCGAAAAGGAAACGCAAAUAAUCAGCCAGCGCAGCAACAACAUGAACGAGUACUUUGAGAGUUUGCGCAACAACAUGAUCACAAUCCUGGAGCACGUGCGGCUGCCGAACGGGCCGCAGGAGAAGAUGAACCAGGACAACUUUGACAACUACCUGAGCAAACUGCAAACGCUCUGCACGAGCAGCACGGGCCCUGAGGGCAACCCGGUCUACUGCGAGGAGAACCAACGCAGCAUGUACGAGAUCAAGUCGGCACUGCAGGACUGCACCGUCGUGCCAAUGCCCAUCUGAACCCCGCCACCCGUCUGGGCGCAGGUCAACUCGCACGACUACUAUUCAAGGUGAACCGCGUCCAGACCAGCUCACCGUUUUUAGCAGGAACCACUCCAAGUUGACAGGCUAGGGCCCGGUUUCUAUUUUAAUCUAAUGAACCAUUAAAUCUAUAGGUUCAAUGGUUCAUUACUGUUCAAAUAACUGCCCUAGAAACCGGGCAAGUAUUUAACUUACGUCAGUAUUUAUUUAUCCAUUGGAUGAACCAAACAACUACAAUAUUCAGAAAAAACAAGCUAAAUUUAAAGGUUCAAUGAUCCAUUAGAUUCAAUAUCUGUCCAAGAAACCGGGCAAAUGUUUCACUUACGUCAGUAUUUAUUUAUCUAUUGAAUGAAGCAAACAAGAUUCUCACAAAAGAAAAACAGGCUAUUGCCUCAAACUUUAAAUAUUUCUUAAUUUUGUAUUAGUAUUGCUUAUGAAACGUAUUUUUCAUUUAAGGAUUAACCACUUUAACCAUUUAACUAGUUAGUUUUAGUUUUGAUUGUUUUCACCAGAGAGUGAUUAAAGGUGAUAAGUAAUAAAAAGAUAAAGUUAAUAAUACAUUUUUUUUGUCAGUCUUAUUUAGUUAGUAAUGUUGAAGGACUCAUACCAGGAUAGGUUUACACAAUCACUCUCAAAUGAGAUUAGAAGUCUUUAUUAACAUGAGUUUGGUUGAAUUGGAUUUAAAACUUACGUCAUAGAAAUACAUAAUAUCAGCAUUUGUUUUGUAUAUUCUUGAGAAUUUUCAGAAUUAUAUAAAUGUCAAUUGGAUUUGUUUUUGUAUUCGCCUCAGAAUCAUAAUGAAUAUUGAUAAGAAUACUUCAAAAUAAAAAGGAAGCUGCUUCAAAACUAUUAUUGUCAUAGUUUCUAUGUGUUGUUAGGAUGGAUACCUCUUGAUUUCAUUUCUUUUCCUAAUGCUCCUCUGGUAGGAUUGGCAAUGGAUGUUUUCAAGAUGGAAAAAACUACUACCUACUUAUUUUGACCGUUUUAAGUGAACCAAUGAAUACUUGUGUAAUUGAAAACUCCUAUGUUUUGAUGGUAGUUACAGUUGUAUAUGUCAAAAUUGAACUGCGUUAUUCAGAAUUAUAUAAUAUAGAUUGUUUCUUCAAGUUACCUUUGAGUUCUCUAUCUAGUCAUUGCUGAUAGAAUAUUUAUUCUUUGAGAUGCUGUCUUGUAGUAUUAGUUAUUUCUAGGAUAAUUUUGGAUUGAAGUUCUUUAUGUUUUAAACGGAUACUACCAAACAUAAGUUGAAUUAAACCUGGGUGCAAUGUAUUGAGAAUUAUCCAUUGGAAGUUUCAUAAGAAUUGAGAAGUAUUAAGUUAUACUUUUUCACAAAUUUCAAUUGUUUGAGAUAGUUGUAUCCAUUUUAUUCGAGAAGAGAUUAAAUGAAUUAUUAUUCUAUAUCAUGAGAUUGACUUUGAUUGGAAAUUUAAAUAUGAAUUUAUCUUUUCUAGACUGAUUAGCAAACAGUGCAAUAAUGCAAUAACUAGUCAAUCAGGUCAGCUGCCGUACUUCUUGAAUAUUCUAGUCAGUUCUGUGGUAAAAUUGCAUAAUUAUUCAAUCCAAUGUAAUGAAUGAAAUAUUUUAUUACUGUAUUAGAUAAGAGUUGAAUUGCAAUGUUAACAUCACAUAAUAAUUUUGUUGGAAAAUAUAAUUUUAUUGAUUGGUGGUAAUUAUUUAUUUUGUUCAGGGCUACUUGCUAAUAUUAUUACAUAGAAUCACAAUAUUACCCUUCUAUUUUCUUUGUUUAGACGACCAGUUUCAGGUAUUCAUCCCAUUAUCAAGUAUCCAAAUGAAAAUUGUCGUGUCAUCGUAGAAAAUAAAAGGAUAUUAGUGAUUAUAUUAUAAUAAUAUUAUAUUUAAUCUUCAAAUUUAUUUUCAGAUUCAGAUUGUGUUAUGUCAUAAUAUUUUUACUACUGAUUUAUUUGAAAUAUGUUCUUGGCCAAUCUAGUAGCAGUUCUAUUACAUUUUAAACCACUGUAUUUAGUAAUGAAUAGGAGUGGAUAAUGUAUCAAUUGAUUCUUACAAUUCACUCUUAAGAACAUGUUUGUAAGGUGAAUCACUAUGCUUGGAAAUGAUGUUUUAAUUAACAAAAAUCAGAGAACUUCAAUUCAGCUCAUAAAAAUUGAUUCCGAAAAAUCAUUUGUUAUGCAAAUAACAAGACAUUCUUAGAGUAAUUGUUCAGGUGUAUAAAUUUUUAAUGUAAAUGUUAGACAUAAUGUGUAAAGAUGUUUGUAUAUUUGAACUAGAAUACAGAACGAGAUAAAGAUUCAGAUAUUUGGCUGGAUGCUUUCCAGAAAAAUCAGAAUUGGUUGUAACUAUUAACUUGAUGUGAAAAAUUGUGUAAAUACCAAUUAGGUAGUCAUAGAAAAUGUUAUAACAUACAAAUGCAUUUAUUUUUUUCACAACAUAAAAUCAUUAGUGUUUCAAAUUUUUAGUUGAAUAUAAAAUAUUAACUAUUCAACAGAUCUGAAUUUUACAAUAAUUUUCUCUCUUGUGACUGUAUUAUUGACAGUGAAUUUCAAUAUUUUGUACAUCAAUAGAUAUUUCAUCAUUUUGCCUUUAUUUCAAUUCCACAAAAUAAUUGCACAUUAUAACGAAAUUUUACUAAAUUAUCAAACGAACAUUUGUAAAGGUAAACAGGGAUAUUAAAUUGAUCUAUAAAAUAGUGUUUUUUAAGCUCGUACCUAUAUACCUAGCAGUGUAAAUUGUAUUUUGUAAUAAAAUUGCUGUUUCGAUUUAACCAGUAACUUGAUCGGAUAAAUAAUGAUGAUAAAUUAUUGUUCUAUAUACAAAAACAAGUGGAUAGCUAUAGGGAAGAAUGUAGCAAUGUUGUGCUAAAUUUAUCGUAAGUUAUGUUUGUUAUAGUUCUUAGACUGUUUUUGUUAAUAGAUUGUUGUUAUUUUGUUGUGAUAUUGUUGAAUUAAUGUAGUAUUCAUUUCAAUAAUGCUUUAUUCAUGUAUUCAUUUGAAGCUCACAAGUUUUGUUACCCUUUUAUUAUUGAAAUCAUAUUCGUAAUAAUUUUGAAUAGAUACAAUAAUUUAGUUAUUUUAAUAGUAAUAAUUGGUGUUUUUCAUUGAAAGUGUAAAUAAAAUUAGGUUAAUCAAAUGAUUAAACACUAGACAAGUGAAUUGAGCAUUGUAUUCGACUAAAUGUGUUUAGUUUGUGUUCAUACUAUUAAAAGAAGUAUUUGCAACGAAUCUUUGUAUGUAUAGUAGAGUUGGUUGUCUUAAGCUCUGGAAACACAUAGUAAUAUUAUUGUUUUCAAUUUAUUGUAUUUUACUGUGAAUAACAAAAGAGAAAGAUAUUUAUAAGAAUAGUGAGUGCUUAAUGAUCACCAUAAAAUACCACACAUUAAGACAAGCUGAAAUUCCCGUUUGUAAUAUUGAAAUGAUAAUUUAAAAACAACAUAUGUUUGAUGUAUGGUAUAUUUCAUGAUAUAAUAAAAUUCAUUAUAAAAUA